GUUUAGGUCACUUUGAUUUGAGGUUUUAUGAUUGCUUGGCUUCAGGGGUGGUUUGUAGAGUUACGGAAAACUAUUGUACCGUCGGUUGGCGGUUUCUUUUGACAAUGUUCUUCUCUAUGCUAUUUGCAGAUUGUUAUGAAGCUGCUUUUCCAACUAUUAGGACGAUGACAAAUUAGUUAUUUUGCGUGCUAAUUUGAUUGGAUUGAAAGUGGGCCUUAAUCUUAGUGUACCAAGUGAAAUGUGGAAAUGAGUUUUGGAAGCAAAUUUAUGGAGAAAUUGUGUAAUUUACUUUAACAAAAUUAUGGUACAACGGGAGCUGAAAUAUUUCAAUAUCCUAUACGCAACGAGCAUGACUUCAUGGAGGUGUUUUAGUGCUAGUGUCGAUACUUCCCCAAUUCUCCUUGUUUCACAACAAUAGUGGCAAAGGAAAAACACCGAGAACUAAUGCAAAUUAGAUUACGCAUCAUUACGAGUUAGUUUAAACCACCGUUUGGAUUUAAAAUUCAAAUUUGAAAUUUACAGCAAACGAAAGAAUUCAGCUAUGUUUUGACGUUUCUUAUUCAGCGCCGAAUGUUGACUACCUGUUGACCGGCUUGAUCACAAUAUUAAGUAAACAAAUGUCAACAAUUAGUGAGUUAAGUGUACACAAACUAAGUGAAUUUAUUAAAAAAAAGUGAUAAAAAUUUGGAAAACAACAAGGAACAUAAGUAGAAAGAAAAGGGAGGAAAGGCGGGGAAACCUCCUACUUUAUCAAUAUACUGGCGGAUGUGGUGUCUUUUUACAAUCAAUGUCUAUCAUCCUACGUUUGCGGUCAUCAGACCAGCUGAAGUGAUAAAAUCGAACAGCUUCUCUCCUCUAGGAUUGCAUUUGCUGCUGCCCUGAGCGCUCGCAUCACAACCUAUUAAAAAUUCAAAGCCAGUUUAUUGUGCAUACGUUUCCAGAUCCCUUAGUUUUGCCGUCGACGGAGGACACAAAGAAUCAUAGGGACUAUAUCCGGCAUGUUCCAUCCGAAUACCAACUACGGGGAAAUGCUUGAAGGCGCAGCUCGGCGAUAUUGGUUUGGAAACUCUGCGCUGUGUGACGAUAUCAGUGCAGCUUCCAGGACUCAUCAGACGGCGAUUCCUGCUGAUCCACCAUACCUCAGCGUCCAGCUCCUUCAUUUCGGCACCGUUUGUUGCUUCUCCGUCGCAGACGGACGGUACUAUCGGUCUUGCAUUGUAAUAUGUUCAUAAAUAUGUAAAGAUGUUUUAUAUUUUUAACCAAUUGUUAAUAAAA